GACGAACGCUGGCGGCGUGCCUAAUACAUGCAAGUCGAGCGAUGAAGAUUGGUGUUUGCAUCAUUUUGAAGAGCAGCUAACUGGUGAGUAACGCGUGGGCCUUCUGCCUUUGAGCGGGUGACAACAUUUUGAAACGAAUGCUAAUACCGCCUCACAACUUUAAACAUAAGUUUUAAGUUUUAAUUCUGCAAUUGCUUCACUCACAGAUGAUCCCGCGUUGUAUUAGCUAGUUGGUCAGGUAAAGGCUCACCAAGGCGAUGAUACAUAGCCGACCUGAGAGGGUGAUCGGACACAUUGGGAAGGAGAAACGGCCAAAACUGCUACGAGAGGCAGCAGAAGGGAAUCUUCGGCGAUGGACGAAAGUAUGACCGAGCAACGCCGAGUGAGUGAAGAAGGGAUUCGGAGCGUAAAACGCAGUUGGUAGGGAAGAACGUCGGUGAGAGUGGAAAGCAAAUCAAGUAACGGUAACUACACAGAAAGGGACGCCAAACUACGU
rnacentral:rRNA from 1 species